rnacentral:rRNA from 1 species
CCCGCUGAACUUAAGCAUAUCAAUAAGUGGAGGAAAAGAAACUAACAAGGAUUCCCCUAGUAACGGCGAGUGAAGCGGGAAGAGCUCAAAUUUAAAAUCUGGCAGUCUACGAUUGUCCGAAUUGUAAUCUCGAGAAGUGUUUUCCGCGUUGGCCUGUGUACAAGUCCCUUGGAACAGGGCGUCAUAGAGGGUGAGAAUCCCGUCCUUGACACAGACACCCAAUGCUUUGUGAUACACUCUCAAUGAGUCGAGUUGUUUGGGAAUGCAGCUCAAAAUGGGUGGUAAAUUCCAUCUAAAGCUAAAUACUGGCGAGAGACCGAUAGCGAACAAGUACCGUGAGGGAAAGAUGAAAAGCACUUUGGAAAGAGAGUCAAACAGUACGUGAAAUUGUUGAAAGGGAAACGAUUGAAGUCAGUCGUGCCUGCCUAGAUUCAGCCUUCUGGUGUAUUUCUAGGUCGGCAGGUCAGCAUCAGUUUGGGGGGGUUAACAAGGGAGUUAGGAAUGUAGCAACCUCGGUUGUGUUAUAGCCUAGCUUCGCAUUGAUCUCGCUGGACUGAGGAACGCAGUGCGCCCGCAAGGGUUGGUCUUCGGACACAUUCGCACUUAGGAUGCUGGCAUAAUGGCUUUAAACGACCCGUCUUGAAAACACGG